AUGCCCGAAGGGAUCAAUGACACAUCCAUUGUACUUAUUCCUAAGGGGAAGAAUCCGCAAUGUCCAAAAGAUUUCCGCCCAAUAAGCCUCUGCAACGUAAUUUACAAGGUUAUUUCCAAAUGCUUAGUUAAUUGCUUGCGACCACUGUUAGAUGGAUUGAUUUCGGAGACCCAAAGCACUUUCAUUCCGGGGAGGCUGAUCACUGACAACGCCAUCAUAGCUUUCAAAUGUUUUCACAAGAUCUAG
rnacentral:rRNA from 1 species